rnacentral:rRNA from 1 species
UACGUAGGGUGCGAGCGUUGUCCGGAAUUAUUGGGCGUAAAGAGCUUGUAGGCGGUUUGUCGCGUCUGCUGUGAAAAUCCGGGGCUCAACCCCGGACUUGCAGUGGGUACGGGCAGACUAGAGUGUGGUAGGGGAGACUGGAAUUCCUGGUGUAGCGGUGGAAUGCGCAGAUAUCGGGAGGAACACCGGUGGCGAAGGCGGUUCUCUGGGCCUUACCUGACGCUGAGGAGCGAAAGCGUGGGGAGACGAUAGAACCUAGAGUCCGAAGACGAAGUC